GAACUUGGAGUCAUCCUUGACUGGUCAGGCCAUUUUCUGAUGCUUGGUUAGUGGUUACUACACAUUCCUUUCGACCUUUAUGGAUCCUGUCAUGAGGCACGAUUGUCAUCUACCUCUAAUAUCAAACAAACACUUACUGUACCAUCUAAGCACUCUGCUUAUCUGGCACCCUGGCUAUUUUCUUAACUCUUGCAAGGUCUUGGGUCGAAUCCUUGACACCAAGGGACAAGUAUGCAUGAAAACGGUAUCUUGAAGCUUUCUUUUACGGUAAAUUAUGUUACCAUCGCCUCUUUUGUUUAAAGAAUGUUGGUUUCCAUGUGUUCCUCCCUAAAAAGAAUUGAGAAUGUUUGCCAUGUGACAUGUAUCUCUACUGGAAUUUUUAGUCCGUAGAACAUAGGAACAGCUAACACGGCCUUCCCCCUCCAUGUGGCACUUACCUGAAGUCGCUUCACAGUUGGAGUAUUUUGCACCGAUCUGGCCAAGGUGAAAUUCCGGCCGGCCGGAAGUAAUAUUUCUUAGGAUUCUUCUUAUGGAAGGAUCUUACAAAAUGUAGUGAACUCAUGUGAAAUAUUACUUCAUGUAUGCAUGAUUUUUUUCAUGAAUGGAGCAUCAUUUGGUUUAUUUUUUUCAUGAAUGGAGCAUACACUUGGUUUGCAAAUUAUUCUUUUCUCAGGACAUUCUUCAUUGGUCUAUCCCAGGCUAUAUGAUAUUGAGAGAUCAUCUAACUCAUCAGCCCAGCAGUAUAUUCUCUGUUAUGACUAAAUUAUUGCUUAACCAUAAUGCAGGGAGAGGUAUUCGUGGCAUUUUCCAGAACUGGUGAAAAUAAUGAAUGACAACUACCUUUAUGCUAACAUUGCCAAGUUUGUAGUGAAUAAAUCUGAUCUAGCUGAAAAAGAUAUUCCAGCUUUGUCAGAUCUCAUUGGAGACGAGGACAAGGCAAAAGAAAUUGCUGAAACGGCAAAUAUAUCUAUGGGCCAGGAUCUUUCACCAGUUGAUUUGAUCAAUGUACAAUAGUUUGCCCAAAGGGUCAUGAAUUAUCCGAAUACCGUGAAAAGCUCUAUGAGUAUAUGGUAACGAAGAUGAAUGAUAUUGCACCAAAUCUGACACCUUUGAUUGGUGAAAUUGUUGGAGCUCGGCUAAUCUCUCAUGUUGGCGGUCUUUCGGAUCUUGCAAAGUGCCCUGCCUCCAUUCUCCAUAUACUGGUGCUGAAAAGGCGCUUUUCAGGGACGAGCGCAAGCCACUAGUUAGUAACGAUGGAAGAGUCGAAAGAGCUCGAAAGAACUGGAAGGCGGAGGGAGUGAGGCGGUAGCUGAGUUGUUACCUGGUAGCGACGGCCAGGACGUGAAGGACGGGGUCAUA